GACGAACGCUGGCGGCGUGCCUAAUACACGCAAGUUGAGCGCUGAAGGUUGGUACUUGUACCAACUGGAUGAGCAGCGAACGGGUGAGUAACGCGUGGGGAAUCUGCCUUUGAGCGGGGGACAACAUUUGGAAACGAAUGCUAAUACCGCAUAAAAACUUUAAACACAAGUUUUAAGUUUGAAAGAUGCAAUUGCAUCACUCAAAGAUGAUCCCGCGUUGUAUUAGCUAGUUGGUGAGGUAAAGGCUCACCAAGGCGAUGAUACAUAGCCGACCUGAGAGGGUGAUAGGCCACAUUGGGACUGAGACACGGCCCAAACUCCUACGGGAGGCAGCAGUAGGGAAUCUUCGGCAAUGGACGAAAGUCUGACCGAGCAACGCCGCGGGAGUGAAGAAGGUUUUCGGAUCGUAAAACUCUGUUGGUAGAGAAGAACGUUGGUGAGAGUGGAAAGCUCAUCAAGUGACGGUAACUACCCAGAAAGGGACGGCUAACUACGUG
rnacentral:rRNA from 1 species